rnacentral:rRNA from 1 species
CUACGGGAGGCAGCAGUGGGGAAUAUUGCACAAUGGGCGCAAGCCUGAUGCAGCCAUGCCGCGUGUGUGAAGAAGGCCUUCGGGUUGUAAAGCACUUUCAGUGGUGAGGAAGGCCAAGUAGUUAAUACCUGCUUGGAUUGACGUUAGCCACAGAAGAAGCACCGGCUAACUCCGUGCCAGCAGCCGCGGUAAUACGGAGGGUGCGAGCGUUAAUCGGAAUUACUGGGCGUAAAGCGCACGUAGGUGGCUUACUAAGCCAGAUGUGAAAGCCCCGGGCUUAACCUGGGAACUGCAUUUGGAACUGGUUCGCUAGAGUAUGAUAGAGGAGUGUGGAAUUUCCGGUGUAGCGGUGAAAUGCGUAGAGAUCGGAAGGAACAUCAGUGGCGAAGGCGGCACUCUGGAUUAAUACUGACGCUGAGGUGCGAAAGCGUGGGGAGCAAACAGGAUUAGAUACCCCCGUAGUC